AUCUCAAGGACAGAUUUGUGUAGCUUUUGCCGUCAGAGAAAAGGACGGGAAGGACUUUUGCAUGGAAUAGAAUGAGUAGAAAGCAGAUCACUCCUUAUACAUAUUAAAACAGUAUAUCCUAUGGCAUAUGCCUUGCCUUCAACUACCCUCUCAUUUCUUCAAUCUUAGAAAUAGAAGAUCUUCUUUAGCCCUACAUAUAAAUCUCUCCAAGGGGUCUUUGACACAGUACUUGUAGUUAGAAGUGUCAAAAUAUAUCAUUUCGUAUGAUGUCUCUUCACUUAGGUGAGCGAACUGGUUGUAGGGCUUCUCUCCUUUGGCAGGCAAUCUAUUGAAAAAAACUAAAAGGAAGAAUAAUCAAGAAUGACCCGCCAAAGGAGAGUUGCCCUCCAACUGCUUCAGCUCUAUUAUUGCCAAAUAAAAGCUUGCAUUUCAUGCGUAAGCUAAGCAAUUCAGAGCUUAGGGUUCAUAACUCAUAAUUCGUACUUUUGGAGAGAAGAUAGUUUUGAUGCUGUAAGAAGGAAAGAACAACAAUCGAGAUUAACUUAGAGCUAUAGAUUGUCCCGCUAGCUUUCCUAUUAUAAGGAGUAAUUAUCAUAAAAGUUCAUAGCUGAGAUUUUGAUGGCUUUUUGGCAGCAAAAACUAAGCGUGCAUACAAGUUGAUGUUUUAAAUUUAUUUAGAGGAAUCAGAAUAAAUAGACUGAUGGUAGCGUAACGCUAGACCCCACCUAUUGCCUCUAAUUCAUCAUUAUUAGUAAUCUAGUUGUAGUAGCCAUAAUCUCAUCGUAAUUUCUUUCUGUUUGCUCAUCAUUGUAUCCAACAUGAGACAAUUCCGUUCUCAUUCGAUGCUUAAUGGGCGCAAAAGUGAUAGAAAUGGAAGAAGUUCUAGGGUUUUCUUACCUUCUGUGCAAAAUGAGACUCGAUGCAAAUUCAAACUGACUAACUGGAUAAUACAUUUACCUGCUCUUUCUGUAAUUUGAUUGUCUUUCGUCAGAAUUGACAAUAGAGCUUCUUUUAAUUGGA